rnacentral:rRNA from 1 species
GUAACACGUAGUCAACCUGCCCUCGAGACGAGAACAAUCUCGGGAAACUGAGGCUAAUGCUCGAUAGAUCAAGAUUCCUGGAAUGGGUUUUGGUCUAAAUGGGGUAACAGCAUCUUGUUAUUUCCGCUCGAGGAUGGGACUGCGACCGAUCAGGCUGUUGGUGGGGUAAAGGCCCACCAAACCAGUAACCGGUACGGGCAUUGAGAGAUGGAGCCCGGAGAUGGACACUGAGACAAGGGUCCAGGUCCUACGGGGCGCAGCAGGCGCGAAACCUUCGCAAUGCGCGAAAGCGCGACGAGGUUAUUCCGAGUGAUUUCCGCUGAGGAAGUCUUUUCUCAGAUCUAAAAAGUCUGGGGAAUAAGGGGAGGGCAAGUCUGGUGUCAGCCGCCGCGGUAAUACCAGCUCCUCGAGUGGUCAGGGCGUUUAUUGGGCCUAAAGCAUCCGUAGCCGGCUCAGUAGGUCUCCUGUUAAAUCCAACGGCUCAACCGUUGGUCUGCAGGAGAUACCGCUGGGCU